GGUUAAGCGACUAAGCGUACACGGUGGAUGCCCUGGCAGUCAGAGGCGAUGAAGGACGUGCUAAUCUGCGAUAAGCGCCGGUAAGGUGAUAUGAACCGUUAUAACCGGCGAUUUCCGAAUGGGGAAACCCAGUGUGACUCGUCACACUAUCAUUAACUGAAUCCAUAGGUUAAUGAGGCGAACCGGGGGAACUGAAACAUCUAAGUACCCCGAGGAAAAGAAAUCAACCGAGAUUCCCCCAGUAGCGGCGAGCGAACGGGGAGGAGCCCAGAGCCUGAAUCAGCAUGUGUGUUAGUGGAAGCGUCUGGAAAGGCGCGCGAUACAGGGUGACAGCCCCGUACACAAAAGCGCAUGUGCUGUGAGCUCGAUGAGUAGGGCGGGACACGUGGUAUCCUGUCUGAAUAUGGGGGGACCAUCCUCCAAGGCUAAAUACUCCUGACUGACCGAUAGUGAACCAGUACCGUGAGGGAAAGGCGAAAAGAACCCCGGCGAGGGGAGUGAAAAAGAACCUGAAACCGUGUACGUACAAGCAG
rnacentral:rRNA from 1 species